GUGUACAUAGUAAACAACAUUAUAUUUGCCUUCCAAGCAAAAGUUCUAAUAAAAUUAGUGUACACU
rnacentral:tRNA from 2 species